UACGUAGGGGGCAAGCGUUGUCCGGAAUCAUUGGGCGUAAAGAGCGUGUAGGCGGUCCGGUAAGUCGGCUGUGAAAGUCCAGGGCUCAACCCUGGGAUGCCGGUCGAUACUGCCGGACUAGAGUUCGGAAGAGGCGAGUGGAAUUCCCGGUGUAGCGGUGAAAUGCGCAGAUAUCGGGAGGAACACCAAUUGCGAAGGCAGCUCGCUGGGACGUUACUGACGCUGAGACGCGAAAGCGUGGGGAGCAAACAGG
rnacentral:rRNA from 1 species